CCCGAGGGGCUUAGGUGUGCCCUGUGGCCUAGGUGUGCCGUGGGGCCUACAUGUGCCGUGAGGCCUAGUUGUGCCGAGGGUCCUAGUGAAAGACCCCAGCUUAGCAGCAGCAACGCCAUUUUGCAAGGCUAUAUUUAAGAUGACUGGUUCAGAGAAAGGUUAGAACACUGAGUACACAGCGGCUGCCAAACAAGAUGUGUUUGGUUGAAGGCCUGGCAACAGGAGGACUGCCGUUGAGCACCUGACAAUGAGAAAAGCCCCGGGAGAGGUCCCACACCCUGGUGGGGGGCCGAGUCAGCCGUUAUGUUCCAAGAAGGUAGCUAAGAAACUUGCCCCCGGGCUAAACUCUUGGGGGGCCGAGUCAGCCGUUAUGUUUCAGGAAGGUAGCUAAGAAACUUGCCCCCGGGCUGAACCCUUGGGGGGCCGAGUCAGCCGUUAUGUUUCUGGAAGGUAGCUAGGAAACUUGCCCCCGGGCUAAACCCUUGCCAUAUUAGAAUCCACAAAUUAUAUCCCUGUAACCAUGCAUCUGCUUCUGUAUGCUUGCUUCUGCUCCCCAAAAUCCUAUAAAAGCCCAUCCUUGGUUCCGUGGGGCGCGCCAGUCCCCCGAGUGACUGAAGCGCCCGCAGGUGCCUGUGCCUGUGUAUCCCGACAAUAAACCAAAUCCUCUUGCUGAUUGCAUCCUGUGGUGUCUCGGUCUGGUCUUUGGAGUUAGAAGAUCUCCAUCCCAAGGGAAAGUUCUCCCUGAGAGCUUUUCAUUUGGUGCAUUGGCCGGGAAAGGAGAUCCUCCACCCAGGGACCACCGACCACCCACUGGGAGGUAAGCCGGCCGGCGUCUGUCUGAUUCUGUCUCGUUCUGCCUUAUUCUGUCUGUUCUGUGAGCGCUCAGCCAGGUCUGUUCUGUGAGCGCUCAGCCAGGUUGUUUGGAAUUUGGGCGGGACGAAGAAGGAGCUGACGAGCUCGGACUUCUCGCCCCGCAGCCCUGGAAGACGUUCCAAGGGUGUUAGGGGCCUGACUUUUCGGGGCCCAAUCUGGGAGGAGAAAGAUCCGGACUAACGGCAUCUCUGUCUGUAUUUUUGGCUUUCAGAGGGCCCCGGACCUUUGCCACCUCCAUCUGACUUUUUGCUUUCAGUUUGGUACCAAAGCCGUGCAACACGCCUGUCUGUUGUUUGUUUGACUGUUGGUGUUGUUUGUUUUCUCUGUGUUCUAAUCUUCCUUAGAACUAACAUGGGACAGUCCCUAACAACGCCCCUAAGUCUCACUCUUGAUCAUUAGAAAGACGUCCACGACCGGGUACACAACCAGUCCAUCGAGGUUAAAAAAGGAAAAUGACAGACUCUCUACACAUCCGAGUGGCCCACUUUCGGAGCGGGAUGGCCAGUGAAUGGCACAUUUAAUAAGAUCAUUAUUUUACAGGUUAAAGAUCGGGUCGUCCACGGACAUCCUGACCAGGUUUCUUAUAUUAUCACUUGAGAGAGUCUCGCCUUAACCCCCCCCCCCGGGCGGAACCCUUCGUGGACCCGAAUUGGCCUCCCCUCAACCCCCAGCCUGUCCCCUUGGCCCCGCCCGGUCCGCCGGCCACGUCUUCCUCUCUCUACCUUUGUGAAAUCAGAGCCUUCUAAGAAACCUGUCCUCCCGGCAGACCCAAACUCCCCUCUCAUAGAUCUUCUCUCUGACAGGCCCGGCUGAAACGGAGGAGGCAGAGCCGCCGGCCAGAUCAGUUGCCGGGCCACAGUCUGAUAAGGGUUUCUCCCCUGUCGCAGGGAGAUUGCGCAAUAAGCUCGAGGUGAUGCCAGAUUCAACCUCCCAGGCUUUCCCACUUAGACAGGGAACCGGUGGCCAGACCCAAUACUGGCCGUUUUCAACAGCUGACAUUUACAAUUGGAAACAACACAACCCUUCUUUCUCCAAAGAUCCGGUGGCACUCACUGACCUAAUAGAAUCUGUUUUACUUACCCACCAGCCUACUUGGGAUGACUGCCAACAGCUCUUACAGGCCCUCUUAACCUCAAGAAAAAAAAAAAAAAAACAAAGAGUGUUCCUAGAGGCCAAAAAACAUGUUCUGGGAGAUGAUGGGCGUCCCACCCAGCUGCCUGAGGACCAAACUGGGAUUUUAAUACAGCUGAAGGUAAGGGACACCUACGCCUUUAUCGCCAGUUGCUUCUAGCGGGUCUCCGAGGGGCUAUACGACGCCCUACUAAUUUGGCUCAGGUAAAACAGGUAUUACAGGAAGCAGGGGAAACUCCCUCCACCUUUCUAGAGAGACUUAAGGAGGCCUACCGUAUGUACACUCCCUAUGACCCAGAUGACCCAGGACAAAUGACGAGUGUCUCUAUGUCCUUCAUCUGGCAGGCUGCUCCAGAUAUCAGGACUAAGUUACAGAGGUUAGAAAAUUUGCAGGGCUAUACAUUACAGGAUUUACUUAAAGAAGCUGAAAAGAUUUUUAAUAAGAGAGAGAUAAAAAAAAAAACAAACAAACAAUUGAGUCAAAUCUUGGCCACCGUAGUACAGGGCCAAGAAAGGAAGGGAGAUAGGGGGGAGCUCGAAAGGGGCUGAAGCUGGAUAAAGAUCAAUGUGCCUAUUACAAAGAGAAAGGGCACUGGGACAGAGAGUGCCCCAAGAAGCCUGGCGGACCCCGAAAGCCUCGACCACGAACCUCCCUCUUGGCUCUAGAUAAAGAUUAGGGAGGUCAGGGCCAGGAGCCCCCCCCUGAGCCCAGGGUAACGCUUAAAGUUGGGGGGCAGCCGGUUACUUUCCUGGUAGACACAGGAGCCCAGCAUUCAGUCCUCACCCAAGCUUCAGGACAACUCAGCGACCGGACGGCCUGGGUACAAACAGCUACUGGUGAGAAACAAUACCGAUGGACUACGGACCGCCGGGUUCAGCUGGCUACCGGUAAGGUGACCCAUUCCUUCUUACAUGUUCCGGACUGCCUGUACCCUCUGCUGGGCCGUGACCUGCUCACCAAACUAAAAGCACAAAUUCAUUUUGAGGAAAGAGGGGCCCGAAUAACUGGCCCCCACGGAACUCCCCUUCAAGUUCUAUGAAUAUAGACUAUAUGAACUGGGACAGGACAAGCCACAAUCCCUAGAAAUAGACACUUGGGUCACGAAUUUUCCACUGGCUUGGGCAGAGACUGGUGAGUUGGGGUUGGCGCUCCAACAGCCCCCCUUAAUUAUACAGUUAAAGGCCACUACAACUCCAGUCUCCAUAAAACAAUACCCCCUGUCACAUGAAGCUUAUCAAGGUAUAAGGCCUCACAUUACGAGGCUUCUAGAUCAAGGCAUCCUAAUCCCCUGCCGGUCGCCUUAGAAUACGCCUCUUCUGCCUGUUAAGAAACCCGGCACUGGAGAUUAUAGGCCAGUACAAGACUUGAGAGAGGUCAACAAGAGGAUAAAAGAUAUUCAUCCGACUGUUCCAAACCCUUACAAUUUGCUCAGUAACUGUUCAUCGAUGAGAAACAGGGGUAUGCUAAAGGGGUCCUAACACAAAGGUUGGGACCCUGGAAACGCCCUGUGGCCUACCUGUCUAAGAAAUUGGACCCUGUGGCCUCCGGCUGGCCACCGUGCCUAAAGAUGGUGGCUGCUAUUGCUGUCCUGAUCAAGGAUGCUGAAAAAUUGACUUUGGGACAGCCACUCACCAUCCUAGCACCCCACACAGUGGAGGCCUUGGUAAAGCAGCCCCCAGACCGCUGGCUCUCUAAUUCUCGUACCAAGCCUUGUUAACUGGAUGCAGAACGGGUUCAGUUUGGGCCCGUAGUCGCCCUCAAUCCUGCCACCUUGCUUCCUCUACCAGAGGAGGCAGAACAACAUGACUGCCUACAAAUCCUCGCAGAAGUACCACACAUGGUACACGGAUGACAACAGCUUCUUGGCAGAGGGAGAGCGAAAGGCUGGAGCUGCGGUCACUACAGAAGACAAAGUGAUUUGGGCGAAAGCCCUGCCUGCUGGUACCUCCGCACAACGGGCUGAACUCAUCGCCUUGGCUCAGGCGCUCAAGAUGACAAAAGGUAAGAGGCUAAAUAUAUAUAUAUACAGACAGCCGUUAUGCCUUUGCCACGGCACACAUCCACGGGGAGAUCUACUGGAGGCGGGGGCUGCUCACAUCUGAGGGUAAAGAUAUGGCUAAAAUUCUGGCCCUCUUAGAAGCCCUAUUCUUGCCCAAAAGACUGAGUAUUAUACAUUGUCCAGGACACCAAAAAGGGCACAACCCAGAGGCACGAAGAAACCAGCUGGCCGAUGCCACGGCUCGAGAAGCGGCCAUGAGCAAACAAAUCUUGCCCUUAAAUAGCCCAGACCAACCCACGCCCCCACCAGUGGGACAAACCAGUUGGGUUUAUGCCCAUGAGGACAUAGAGCUCCUAAAAAAAUGGGGGCCAUCUACCACCCUCAACUAAAACAGUGGGUCUACAAAGGACUUUUGAAUUGAUCUCCUUUUUACAUAAAAAGAUAAAAACCUUACUAGAUCGAGAAGAGAUAAAUCUGUGUUUUUUUUUUAAAUUGGGACAAAGCGAUACAAAAGGUGACUAAAAGUUACAAAGCGUGCGCUCAGGUUAACCCGGAAAGGACCAUGAUUGGACAAGGAGUUCGUCCUAGGGGACACCGUCCCGACAUCCAUUGGGAAAUUGAUUUUACUGAAAUUAAACCAGGUAUAUAUAGAUACAAGUAUCUCCUAGUGUUUAUAGACACCUUCUCAGGAUGGGUCAAAGCCUUCCCCACGAAGCACGAGACUACAAAAAUGGUCACCAAGAAGCUCCUCGAGGAAAUCUUUCCCAGCCCUUCUCUGAGGGCCCAUUUACAGGCCCUACAGAUUGUACAGAGAGACGUCUGGAGACCUUUGGCCGCUGCUUACCAGGACAAGCUUGAACAUCCGGUGGUGCCACACCCGUUCCAGAUUAGAGACACCGUGUGGGUGCACAGACACCAGACCAAAAAUCUUGAGCCACGGUGAAAAAGACCCUACACCGUCCUCCUGACUACCCCGACCGCCCUAAAGAUAGACGGAGUCUCGGCUUAGAUCCACGCACCACACGUCAAGGCAGUCCGGUCUGAGGAAUUGACUAAUCACAACACUACACCCCAGACAUGGAGAGUUCAGCGCACUCCAAACCCCUUAAAGUUAAAACUCCUACGUGGCUCCUCCUAGCCCUUUUGUGGCCUAGAGUCAGUGGGGAAAUAAGCCCCCACCAGACAGAAAUUUCUUGACCAAGUCGAGUGAAAGAUUUCACUCAAAGUUAACAAAAAAAAAAUGGGGGAAUGAAAGACCCCAGCUUAGCAGCAGUAACGCCAUUUUGCAAGGCUAUAUUUAAGAUGACUGGUUCAGAGAAAGGUUAGAACACUGAGUACACAGCGGCUGCCAAACAAGAUGUGUUUGGUUGAAGGCCUGGCAACAGGAGGACUGCCGUUGAGCACCUGACAAUGAGAAAAGCCCCGGGAGAGGUCCCACACCCUGGUGGGGGGCCGAGUCAGCCGUUAUGUUCCAAGAAGGUAGCUAAGAAACUUGCCCCCGGGCUAAACUCUUGGGGGGCCGAGUCAGCCGUUAUGUUUCAGGAAGGUAGCUAAGAAACUUGCCCCCGGGCUGAACCCUUGGGGGGCCGAGUCAGCCGUUAUGUUUCUGGAAGGUAGCUAGGAAACUUGCCCCCGGGCUAAACCCUUGCCAUAUUAGAAUCCACCAAUUAUAUCCCUGUAACCAUGCAUCUGCUUCUGUAUGCUUGCUUCUGCUCCCCAAAAUCCUAUAAAAGCCCAUCCUUGGUUCCGUGGGGCGCGCCAGUCCCCCGAGUGACUGAAGCGCCCGCAGGUGCCUGUGCCUGUGUAUCCCGACAAUAAACCAAAUCCUCUUGCUGA